rnacentral:rRNA from 1 species
UACGGAGGGAGCUAGCGUUGUUCGGAAUUACUGGGCGUAAAGCGCACGUAGGCGGCUUUGUAAGUUAGAGGUGAAAGCCCGGGGCUCAACUCCGGAACUGCCUUUAAGACUGCAUCGCUUGAAUCCAGGAGAGGUGAGUGGAAUUCCGAGUGUAGAGGUGAAAUUCGUAGAUAUUCGGAAGAACACCAGUGGCGAAGGCGGCUCACUGGCCCGGUACUGACGCUGAGACGCGAAAGCGUGGGGAGCAAACAGG